rnacentral:rRNA from 1 species
UUUUCCUACGGGGGGCAGCAGUGGGGAAUAUUGCACAAUGGGGGAAACCCUGAUGCAGCGACGCCGCGUGAGUGAAGAAGUAUCUCGGUACGUAAAGCUCUAUCAGCAGGGAAGAAAAAAAGUCUUUGGCUUUGGACGGUACCUGACUAAGAAGCCCCGGCUAACUACGUGCCAGCAGCCGCGGGAAUACGUAGGGGGCAAGCGUUAUCCGGAUUUACUGGGUGUAAAGGGAGCGUAGACGGCAGCGCAAGUCUGGAGUGAAAUGCCGGGGCUCAGCCCCGGAACUGCUCUGGACACUGUGCGGG